rnacentral:lncRNA from 1 species
CAAUCCUUUAUCCCUAAGUAUUCCCCUGGAUGCAAUACUUCGUCUCUUAAGUAUUCCAUUGCAGGCAAUACUUCGUCCGUAAGUAUGGUGCUAAAACAGUCAUCCUCCAUGAUUCAACCCUUAUCAAGUUAUCAUCUUUGUGUUCAUUGGAUUCUAUCAACAUCCUGCAGAGGAAAUAAUCGCUGCCUCUGAGUUUCUUGCAGACACGAUGUGCUUGCAUCUGCACGUGUCUUGGAUCAACACUGGAGUGGAGAUGCUACCACCCCGGACUGUACGUCGGGUACAGUAAUGCAGCGAAACGGAAAUUAACCUUGGAACUGGCGCAAGGAAUCCUAUGUUGACGCCUUUCAGCCUUUGCCAUUUGUUGAGACGGCAUUCUUGGCCAACAUCAUGGUACAUGUUUAGUGUUAAUCAACGGUGAUAACGGGGUGAGCCUAAUUCGUCUUUUUUGAUCGAAGUUGUUCGUAUAGACGGACAUACACUCACCUAUGUGAGCACACGCACGUACAUAUACACUAUUCCUGAGUUUAAUCAAAGUUGCCAC